CAAUAGUCAAAAGACUUGAUGGUACCACUGGAGGAAGCACCGGCUAACUCCGUGCCAGCAGCCGCGGUAAUACGGAGGGUGCAAGCGUUGUUCGGAUUUACUGGGCGUAAAGAGCGUGUAGGCGGUUUAGCAAGUCAGAUGUGAAAGCCCUGGGCUCAACCCGGGAAGUGCAUUUGAAACUGCUUCACUAGAGUAUGGGAGAGGAGAUUGGAAUUCCUGGUGUAGAGGUGANAUUCGUAAAUAUCAGGAGGAACACCCGUGGCGAAGGCGAUUCUCUGGACCAAUACUGACGCUGAGACGCGAAAGCGUGGGGAGCAAACAGGAUUAGAUACCNUGGUAGUCC
rnacentral:rRNA from 1 species